rnacentral:rRNA from 1 species
UGGGGAAUAUUGGACAAUGGGCCACAAGCCUGAUCCAGCAAUUCUGUGUGCACGAUGAAGGUCUUCGGAUCGUAAAGUGCUUUCAGUUGGGAAGAAGAAAGUGACGGUACCAACAGAAGAAGCGACGGCUAAAUACGUGCCAGCAGCCGCGGUAAUACGUAUGUCGCAAGCGUUAUCCGGAUUUAUUGGGCGUAAAGCGCGUCUAGGCGGAAAAAUAAGUCUGAUGUUAAAAUGCGGGGCUCAACUCCGUAUUGCGUUGGAAACUGUUUUUCUAGAGUACUGGAGAGGUGGGCGGAACUACAAGUGUAGAGGUGAAAUUCGUAGAUAUUUGUAGGAAUGCCGAUGGAGAAGUCAGCUCACUGGACAGAUACUGACGCUAAAGCGCGAAAGCGUGGGGAGCAAACAGG